rnacentral:lncRNA from 1 species
GGUAACUGGCCUUCAGUACAGUGUAUGGCCCCUCCCAGUGUGGGCAGGCAUCAUCCCAUCCUUUGAGGGCCAGAACAGAACAAAAGCAAGCAAAAGAAGGAAUUUUCCUCUUUUUGCUGCCUCGUUCCUUGACCUGGGCCAUCUCCCUUCAUCUCCUUACUGCUGAACUGAAAAUUCAUCAUAACCCCACUGGCUGUCAGAUCUUCAGAGUCAGACUGAUACAUCGAUGGCUUACCUGGGUUUCCAGUUUACACAUGGCAGAUUGUAGGACUUCUCAGCAUCCAUAAUCAUGUAAGUUUCCCCCUGCCUCGUUCUUCUCUUAAAGUGACAAAUGGCUUAUGUUACCUUACAGAUGCAGGAAAAGCUGAGUCUCCUGGCACAGUAUCCUCUUUCCAAGGAGUGUCCUUCCUCUUCGCUGUCGGUUUCUACUGAGUUGGUUACUACUUGUUCAGCUGGCAUUUAGAGAUCAGGGCCCAUGGCCUUCGUCUUCGGGAUCCUGCUUUUUUUUUUUUUUUUUUGGUACUGGGGAUCGAACUUGGGACCUUUCGCUUGCAAGGCAGGCGGGGGAACCACUGAGCUAAAUCCCUGCCCAUCUGGGAUCCUGCUUCUUCACCGAGGCCUGUCUUCUCUGCUCUCUGUCCGUGCAGCUAAAGUGGCUCCUCGUCCCAGGUGUUCCACCCCAUUGCCCAAAGUGGUUGGACCAUUUGCCCAUGCCCUGCCCCAGCUGAACUUGUUUAUAAAAAAUCAGCUCUCUUAUUUUUAAAUAGUACUGAAAACUCUUGUGAUCCUGUCUCCUCUCAACCACAUUCAAGCAGGGGAUUUAUCAGUCCUAGGGGAAGGCAGCACUCCAGGGAAGAUGAAGCACUUUCCCUGAAGCCUUGCAGGAUUCUGAGGGAAAACUCACCAAGACCUAGAAAUGGUCUGUGCUUUCCCAGCACAGAAUGGACACAGCUUGGCCCCUCUCUUUCCCUUUCUCUUUCAUUGGUAAAAUGCCUUUGCUCUCUGACGCUUCCGCUGGCUCAUUUUACCUUCCUGGACAGGCCCCAAUUUCCAAAACAAAGCACUCAGAAAAAAGAUCGACACCUUCCAUAUUAUUUCUGUGCAUAUGCCAAGGACCCUGUUGAUUGACCUGCGGACAGCCAGGGAGACAAGAAGAAAGGCCAGGUGAAGUUCUGGGCGUCAGGGUCCUCUGCCCCUGCUGGAGAAUUAACAAAGGGCCUAACAUUUGCUGCACCAAGCGUCUUAAAUAAUCAACAAGAAACCCAAAACUUCCUGUCUGCAUGUGCCUGAGGCACUAAUGUAGCAGUCAGUCAAACUUCAAAGGCAGAUCGAGACAUUCAAGAGUCAAACAAUAUGAAUGAAAACACAGAAGCAGGAAGGAACCAUGUAUGUUUACUCCCAUCUCUGUAAUCUGGCUUUUAGCCCCUUCCAACUACCAGCCCCUACAACAGUUGCCUUGACUUGGCUCCUAUAGGACAGUCCCGUGGCCCCAUCCUGUUUGUUCUUCCUUUGCCUUGAAUAUUUUGCAACACUGAACACUCCUGAUCACAACACUGAAUGCUCUUGAUCACAAUAAUACUAACAUUUAUGUUAUGCUUAAUAUGCCAGAAAGUCUUCUAUUAUUUUUUUGUCUCAAAUUAUCAUCAAAACAACCCUAUGAAGAAGGCAUUAUUUAUUAGCCAUAAUUUCGAGGGAGGAACUGGAGGCACAAAAAAAGGCAAAGUAACUUGCUCCAAAACACACAGGAUAUGGCAGGGCCAGGAAUUGCUCUUGGAUCUUUACCUCCAGAGCUCAGGUUCUCAGUUCUCCUCCAUUAGGUCACACUUCUCAGAAAGACACACGGUGUUUUGGCCUUUGAUGGAGACUUUAAAAAGGAAGUCAAUGGAAGUAGGAAGCAAGGUGGCAGACUGUGCCUCCUUAUGUGCCACACUGUCUUUUUUUUUUUUUAAUGCUGAGUCUUUUUAAAAAGAGGUGCCUGGUGGCUCUUGGCUCACUUCAUGGUUUGACUAAAUUAUAUGAUCACAUGGCUAUGCCCUCCUCUGUAGUAAAACACAAAGAAGAAAGGAAGGAAGGAAAGCAGGGAGGGAUGAAGGGAUGGAGGGAAAAGGAAGGAAGGAAAGAAGGAAGCAACAAAGGAAGGAAGGAAAGGACUUCAUGUUGUAACCUGUAGCCCUGGUCAUCCUCUCCCAGUCUGUAUGAUCCACGGAGAUUCCCUGGGUUCCAUUGAUCUGGUAUGCAGCCCAUGCUUUGGAAGCCUCCAUGGACAGUGUCACCCCUCUCCCCUGGGGUCUCUGCUCUUGGAAGUCCUAGCAUAACUGACACCUAACCCAGGAUGUCAGCCUUCCUGUGUCACCAUGCCAUUGUGGGUACAUCCCCGCCCCUGUGGUAGGGAGUAAGGUAAGGCAAAGAUUGAUGCAAAGACAUGAAAAUCAGUAAGUAGAACUAGUUCUGCUCUUCAGGAUAUAAAUCCCUGACUCAUCCACAUUGCUGCAGACUGAGGAAAUAGUAUGUGUCACACAUGUAUUUUAUUUUUUAGUCUCUUUUUCUUUUUAAUUGUGUAAAAUACACAUAACAUAAAAUUUGCCUUGUCUACAUUUUUUAAUUCGCAAGACAGAGGCAUUAAGUACAUUCACAUUGUUGUGAAAGCAUCACCAACAUCCUUCUCCAGAAGUCUUCAUCUUGCAAAAUUGAAACUCUGGCCCCAUUCAACACUUAAAGCCCAUUCCUCUGUCCCCUUACCCUGGCAAACACCAUUCUACUUUGUCUUUGUGGAUCUGGCUAUUCUAGGGACCUCACAUAAUUGGAAUCGUAAGUAUUUGUCUUUCUGUGACUAGCUUAUUUCAUUUAGUAUCAUGUACUCAAAAUUUAUCCAUGUCAUAGCAUGAUCUACAUACAUUGUAAAUGUUUGCAGAUAUCAUUGUGAUCAAAGGACAAUUUUAUUUAAAAGCAUUAGUGACUGUUUGUGAUAAAAACUAAUAUUUAGAUGGUAUUUUCUCUUUGCCAGGCUCUAUCCUAAGCAGUUUGCAUACAGUAACUCAUUUAAUCCUUGCAAUAAGGUAGAAGAAAAGUACAAUUAUUAUCUCUGCUUUACUGAUGAGGAAUCUGAGACACAGAAAAAGUAUGUAGUAACUUGCUCAAGGCCACAGAGCUAGUGGGUAGAAGGGACAGGCUUUCAUCAUAGUUCAUGGGCUCUGAACCAUUGUACCAUAAAAGGGAUUUCCACUGGUCUGCAUUUGCUCAACCACUGGAUACUACAAACAAUGAUGCCAGCAUCACAGGGAUGAAAAGGGCUUGCAAAUCUAAAAAUUUCCAAAACUUUAGCUGUAGGAUAAAUUUUUUUUCUCAGUAAACAUUUUUUGGAAUUAUGUAAGAUUUGCAGAAGAGUUGCAACACAGUAAGUUCCCACAUACUCCUCAGCCAAUGUUGCUUUUCCUAAGGUUAUCAUCCAUGGAUACAUUUGUCAAGACAAGACAACAGCGGUUAUCAGUCUCAGCUAGACUCUAGAUUUUGUUUGGAGUUCACCAGUUUUCCCAUUAGCACUUUUUAAUUCUGUGCUCCAGGACGCAAUCCAGGAUUCCAAAUUGCAUUUAGUUGUCCCAUGGUCUUGGUCUCCUCUGGUCUAUGACAAUUUCUCAGACUGCUUAUUUUGUAUGUCCUUGACGGUUUUAAGAAGUCCUAAUCAGGUAUUUUGUAGAAUGUCCCCCAGUUUAGGAUAUUUUUUUUCACAAUUCAAUUGGGGCUAUAAGUUGUUUUGAAAAGAAUACCACAGAGGUAAAACAGCCUAAUCAAAUUUUAUCAUUAUAUCCACCAGUAAUGUCAGCUUUGACUGUCUGGCUAAGGUGGUGUUUGACUGAUUUCUCCACUGUGUGACGCUAUUUGUCCCUUUCAAUGCUCUGACCUUUGAAAGCAACUAUGUCUUACCUACUCAGCCAGUUAAGGACUGAAGUAAAUUAAGGCCUCUUUUCUUGGAGAUGAGAAUAUUAACGUAUGUUAUUUGGAAUUAUUCUGCAAGGAAGACUUGUUUCUUCUCACAUUUAUUCAUUUAUUCCAUCAUUCAUUUAGGAUAGUCCCACUUAUCUGUGGAAGAUAUGUUCCAAGACCUUCAGUGGAUAACUUAAACCUCAAAUAGCGCCACACCCUACACAUACUAUGUUUUUCCUAUACAUAUAUGUCUAUGAUAAGAUUUAAUUUAUAGAUUAGGCAUCUUCAGAGAUUAACAACAAUAACUAAAAAUAAAAUUGAACAAUGCGACAACAAACAACAAUAAAAUUGUCAGCAUCACUACUUUUGCACUUUGGAGCAACUAUUAGGUAAAUAAUUGUUACUUGAACACACACACACACUGUGAUACCACAACAAUCAAUCUUAUAACCGAGAUGGCUAGUAAGUGACUAAUGGACAGGUAGUAUAUACAAUGUAGAUACACUGGACAAAGGCAUGAUUCACAUAUCAGGCAGGAGGGGGUGGGACAGAUUGGGGCUGCUCAAGAUUUUGUUUUGUUAUCCAAAACAGGGUGCCAUUUAAAAUUUGUGAGUUGCUUCUUUCUGGAAGUUUCCACUUAAUAUUUUUGGACUGCAGUUGACCUCAGUAAUUGAAAUACGGAAAGUGAAACAAAAGAUAAUCACUAUGGAUUCAUAUGUAAAUAUCACUUUAAACAUUUGGCUUUGCUACCUCACCAGAAAGCCCGUGGUACAGCUCCUGCUACACAGGCCUGGGUCUGAUUUUCUCCUCAUUGUUGCCCAGCUGGGCUUGACUCAUAUAUUCUCUCCACACUUGCACCAUUUGUUGGGUCCAGAGCACCUUCUUCCAUCUGAGUCUGAGUCUUGCCUCUUUUCACUGACCAGUUUAAGACUUGCCUCUUCAAUGAAGCAUUUUCUAGCUGCAAGCUUCUCUCUCUCAAUCUCUCUUUCUUCUUCUUCUCCCUGCACCCUGUCUCUCCCUCUCUAAAUUCAACCUGACACUUACAUUGCUGUCAGAUUUAUUGUUUCACUUGGCACCUCUUAUAAUCUUAUCAACUCCAUGGGAAAAAGGAAACUAUUCUCUUCUUUUUCUCUUUGUCCUGUACAAAUAGCAGGUUUCCAACAAUUCAACUCAUGGACUUGAACAGAGUUGAGGGAUCAAAUUCACAUAGAAUAGAACAAUCCAGAUGGGCCUGGACAGAUUCUCUGAGCCAAGCUAUUUCCCAGGAAAAAAGAGACUAUUUUAUUUCAUGGCCAAUAUAUUUUUCCUGUAGUCAAGCACACCACCCUUAAAAACUGAUUGAGUCUGUUUUUGUUUAUGUACCGUUCAUAUCUAGCACUUUUUUUUUCUUUUACAGAUUUCAUUAGUCAAUUUAUCUGACCAACAUAUUCUUAAUCAGAGAAUAGUUGACUAAUUGCAAAUUGUGGUAAUAUUGAAAAGCACAUCUGGGAUCUUUGCCUUAGUAGGAUGUGUAGGAAGCAGAAUUGCUUCCCUGGUACUCUGUUUGCAAAACACCCUUCCAAGUGCAAUGAUGCAAUAUUGCAAAUGCUGGUUUAAAGAGGGAAGCCAUAGGAAGUGAGCAGAAGUGGCACACAGUUAACACACUCAUCAAAUACCAGGCCUAUUAGCUGUGCUUUGAGGAAGGGGUUGGUGGGAAAGGGGAUGUUUCUCCCACUGCCUGGCAAACCUCAGACUGAAAGACAGGGCUAAAAGCUGAGCCUCUGUAUUUGCUAAAAUAACUGGUAAAAACACCAGCUCGAAUUUGUUCCCCCAACUAUAUGGCUCACUCUUGGCAUGGUCAGAUGCUCAUUACUUCAGUGCCUCUCACAGGUAGCGUUUACUCUUCUCGGAGGACGUUUUUAUUAACAAGGAAACUACCCACUAUGAAAUCUCCUGUCUCAACCUCCAAGGCUCACUGGGUGAACUAGGGUCAUCCCAAGCCAUUUUCAGGAGUUACAAGGUCAUGAGAACCUUGUGAGGAGUCUCUAUGGUGUUGCCAUCUACUGACACUGUUUCUAUCCUCAGCCCUGUGAGCAGAAUUGCUAAGAAUGUUGUGCUACGUCUGUCCCAGAGGAGGGCUCCUUUUCCCAUGCUCAGGAGAUGGGCAAUGGGCAGUUAUUGUGCCAGGGCUAUUCAUGAAUUCAUAACUCUGACCACGUUGUUCACGGCUGGGCUGAAUAUAAGCAUACAAUUUCUGUACGGUGACCAAGUGUUGCAUCGUCAGAGAAAAUCUGUUCCAGACAACUCGACGUCAAGUAGCCAGGUUACUUCAUCAGGACUACCUCUAAACUCCAACUGCAGCUUCCUUGAGUCUCGAGGCUCCCUGCCUACCUUGUAGAUUUUGGAUUCACCAAUCCAGUUCCACUACAUAAGCCAAUUCCUUAAAAUAAAUCUCAAUCUCUCUUAAAACACAGACAGGCAGAUAGAAAACAGACACAGAGAUAGAAUCCCAACAAUACAGAGCUUACUCAUAUUUUCAUUGAGGGCUUUCAGAGUUUUGUUGUGGUUUUCCUAAAAUGUCAACUGAACUCAUAAGCUCUCAAAGACUCGUGUUUUGUUAAGAGGCCUGUGAAUCAAAACUUUGACCCUAAAGCCCUUCUCUUGUCCCAUACAAAGUCUCACUCACCUCAGAUCCUCUACUUUUCCUGGUAGUCUUCAGGGCUCCACUAGCUAUAAAAAGUGAAAUUUUCUUCAAUCUUAAAUCUCAAAUCAAGUCUAGGCUCGUUGUGGAUGAAGCAAGAGGGACCCGUAGUUCCCAAAUCUCCCCUCAGCUCUUCAAGCCCUUGAGCUCCCAGCCCUCCAUCCUCCCACCCCACCCACGGAGGUGGACGGAUGAUACUGUUUUGAUUCCAGAUUAGGAGGACCCAGCUGGUUCGUGCGAUCAUACAGCGUUAAUCCCCACAGUAGUGCAGGAUGAGAACAUGCGGUUUGGUUUCUGUUCAUGGCACCAAAUAAUGCCACCUGGCUGCUCUAAGCAUCAUCUUAGCAUAUAUUCAUCUUAUCAGCACAUUAUCUCCUACCUAUCCAAUUUCUUUACCUCCGAAAGAGGCUCAAUCCCAUCAGCUAGGUCUACUCAGUGUAGUCUUGAAUGUUAUUAACUUUAGCUCCUAUAGAAAUAAUCCAAUUGAUUUUAUUGGGUUCUUAUUUAUGAGGUAGACACUAUACUAAAACCUUUGCAUAUUGCAUCUCAUUUAGUCUUCACAAGGCUCCUAUAAAGUGGACACCAUUUUAGCCCAUGAAGUCACUCCAUUCAGAAAUGGUAAAGCUGAUAUGGAUCUGGGAACACUGUUGGACACAGAACUCACUUGGGCAAUGCUAUAGAAGGAAGAGUCAGUGCAAUGAAUUAAAUGCUUGUCUCCCUUACCCCCCAAUAAUUCAUACUGAUAGCAAAUUGGAAUGCUAACCUCUAAAGACAUGGUAUUAGGUAAGAGGAGAUUAGUUCAUGAAAGUGGAGCUUUCAUUGAUAUGAUUAGUGCUUUUAUGAAAGAGACCCCACAGAGACCUCUUGCCUCUUAGGGCCUGUAAGAUUGCAGAGAAAAAUUAACUGUCUAUAGGUGGGGAAUGCCCUAGGACCUCACCAGACACUGAAUGGGCCAACCCCUAGACUUGGACUUGUGGCCUCCAGAACUGUGAGAAAUAAACCUCUGCUGUUUAUAAGCCACAUAGUUUAUGGCAUUUUGCUAUAGCAGCCUCAGCAGGAGACAGCAAAGAAGCACAAUUUGGGGUGCCACAUCUGAACCAAAAAAACCCCAAGUGUUGAUUACAGAACUGCCCUUCCCCUGAUGAAACCACGUGCAGGGUCUCACAGCUCACAGUGGGGCUUCUGGUGAGCUGCUAUUGGGAAGGAGACCCUUGCAUGACUGGAGAACUAAGCUGGGAAAUGAGGAGGAAGGGAAGCAAAGGUGGAAGAGAAAAGGAGCAACAGCAUCUCCAAUCACCGGUUCCACCUGUGGAUCCAACUGUGCCUGAAAUGUGUUGUAUCCCCAGGCUUCUCAGUUACAUGAGCCAACAAGUUCACUUUUCAAUGUAAACUAGUUUUGUUUUGUUUUUACUAAGAACCCAGGGCCUUCAUACUGGCCCCAGCCCUUUUUAUUUGAGAAUGAGUCUCACUAAAUUGUUUUGUUGCCCAGCUGGGCUCAAAUUUGUGAUUCUCCCACCUCAGACUCCUCUCAGAGAGCUAGGGUUAGAAAUGUGUGUCACCAUGCCCGGCUAAUUUAAACUAGUUUGUUAGUCUUCUAAUACUUGCAGCUGCAAGAGUCCUGACUGACUCAGCCAUCUAGCAUCAGUGGGGGCCUCCUCUUCCCUCCUACCAUCCAGGUAGAAGCUUUACAACAGUGCUUUAAUGGAAAAUGUAGGGUACUGCAUGGCCUACACCUUACAGGACAAUCAUUACUGAAAAGACAGUUUAUUACUCUAGAUCCCAAGAGGGGGACUAAGGUUUACCAUAGGAAAAAAGUUCAAGGGACUGUGGAAUGAGCCUUUAUUGUGCUUUCCAUUUGAAAGAAAGGGUUGAAGGAGGGUAUGCUGGCUUGAGAUUAGCUGAUUUGAAUAAUUUUGGCAGGAUCUAUGGCAUAGGGUCUGUCCUUAGUUGACUGGUACCUGACCCUGGCACAAUUAGGGCACAUGGACAGUGGCACAGAGUUGAGAGCCCAGUGAAGGAGGUGGUUGGGGGUGUGGGCUCUGGAUUGGUCAAUUUGUACUUGAAAAUCAUGCCUGUGGACAAGUUAUUUACUCUCUGUGGAAAAAAGUCUUUCCAGAGUCAGCAAGUACCUGCUUUCAAAGCAUCAGAAGUACAGAGGGGCAUGUUAGCACACACCUGUAAUCACAGCACUCUGGGAGGCUGAAGCAGAGGAUCUCAAGUUCACAAGUUCAGGCCCUGCCUGGGAUACUUAGCAACUUAGCAAGACCCUUCUCUAAAUGAAAAAUAAAAUAGCAUAAAAGAUUGAGGUUGCAGCUGUGUGUAAAAGCUUUGGAGUCAAUCCCCAGUACUUAUAAAAGAAAAAGCAAAAGAUAUGGUUAAUACUAUAGGCCUCUACGACACCAUCUCAGCAGAAACUCUUCCAGAGCUAUAUCGUGGGGUAGAAUGUUCUAGAAAUAUCACUCUCCCUUUAAACACACACACACACACACACACACAUUUCCUCUGAAAUGUCACUCUAUUUUGACCUUUUGAUAGUUGGAUAUCAGUCAAUUAAAUUAUUUGCUUGACUCUACCUAGGUCUAAGAAAAAAUAACUUUGGCUCAGAACUAAUGUUUAGGGGCAUGCUUAGGCAGAAUGAGCUUAGCUCUAGGGUGGCAUGGCAGAGGGGCAGCAGAGGAGAAACAGUCCAUGGCAUGGCAGAGCAGGCAGAAGGCAGCAAGCAAUGGCAGUAGCAGAGGCAGCCUCAUUCCCUCUCUCCCUUUAUAUUCCAUCCAGCCUGUAAUCCUGUUGAUUGAUGCCCCCCCCCAGGUGGGGCUUUCACUAUCUAGCCCAUUAAUGCCAGGAUCAUCCCUUUAAUCCACAUUCACAUAUCCUAGUCCAGCCACCUUUGAAACUCCCCACCUAUGUCUGCAUGGGGCUUUGGGGGGACAUCAAGAUAUAAACCAUAACAGACACUAGUCUCAUUCUUGAAGACUUUGCCAUUCUUGACCUAACCACCUCCCAAAGACUUCAUCUCUUAAUGCUGUCACAUCAGGGAUUAAGUUUCAACACAUGCAUUUGGGGAACACAAACAUUCAGUCUAUAGCAAGUCUCUGUCUGGUUCUGUGACUGCUACUCUGUGAAAUUAUUAUAAGCCAGUACACAUGACUCUCCACUGAAGCUAGUCCAUAUUCCUGCUGACUUUAACAUUCUUUUUAACUAUUACAUCUUCAUAAAGCCACUUUGUAAGCCAAAUUUUUCUAAUUUUAAUGAAAUUCAUAGGUUUAGUUAGACAAAACAGAAGUGUUAACAUUUUCUAGAGUACUUCACUCUACUGUGCUGCAGUAUUUUCUGGAAUGCUAUUGUUUUGGGUAGCCUACUUCUAAAAGUGACUUGUCGACUAAAUGUUACCAGCUUCUGGGUUGUUCACCUCUCCCUUAGAUUUCAGGCUCUUCUUGUCUCAAACAAAGAAUUGAACAAAAUGAGCAAAAAAGCAGUGCCCAAGUUUAUUUGAGAAAGGAAAAGUGAAGAGUGAGGGAGAAAUUGGCUCUGCAGAGUGAGCUUGGGCCAAGUAAAAGGAGAAAAAGCAAUAAAAGGAGACCCUGGAGAAAGCAGGUUCUAGUCACGAUAGCAAACUCUUUGUGUCUGUGUCCUUUAUACUGUCCAAAUUUCAAGGAAAUCCUUGAGAACUUCUAUUUUUUGGGUCCUGAGAGGCAAUGCUGGGAUCUCACACCUCAGGCUGACAUCAGGUCUAGGCAUCCUAUUGAAAUCUUACUUGAGUUCUUGUGAGAAGCCCACAUGCAGGGCUUUGGGAAUUGUUCUGUGGAUGUGUUCUGGGAUCUUUGUAACUAACAGGUCACACCUACUUCCCCAGCCAGCUUUGCCAUGCUCACAUCUCCUAUCUCAGUAUGUCUUAAAAUUAUGUUUGGAUUUGGAAUUCCCUAUUUUAGGGAGACAUUUGUUAAUUCACUACUAUUUACAUUUAGCCUAUAAGUACAUGAAUUUUUGAAGGCACACAAACUAGAUAAUGCUCAAUCAUUGAUUGAGUAGUCUCUUGCUGAAGUGAUGGCUUUCCACAGGACAAAGGCACCACAUCUUAACAUAAAGUAACAUUUAAUAUCAGAAGACCUUAUCAUAUACAAAUAUUAUCCCUUACCUAAGUCAUUUAAUCAUCAAAACGACACUUUGAAGGAGGCAUUACCUCCAAUUUACAAACAAGGAAACUGAGGCUCGUGAAAUAUAAAUGUCUUCUUGUUAUAGUUUAAAUCUAGAUGUCCUCCCAGAGCCUCAUGUGAUCAUAGCUGGGCUUUUGGAAGGUGACUGAAUCAUGGAGGCAUGAUACUAAUCAGUCAAUGGAUUGGUCCAAUGGUAAGUAUAUAUCUAAGUGUAAAGUUGGGAGGUGAAGCCUGGUGGAGGAGGUAGGUUGUGGCCUGAAGGGUAUGUCUCUCUCCUUCCUCUCUUGAUCUCUCUACUUCCCAUUGCCAUGCUAUGAGCUCUUUCUCCUCUGGAUUUCCCCUCUUGAUGCCACCUUGCCUUGGAGCCAGCUGACUAUGGACGAAAACCUCUACAAACUGUGAACUAAAAUAAUAAACAGCUCCUCCUUAGAAUUUUGGGUGUAGGAUAUCAUGUCUCAGCAAUGAGAGAAAUAACUAAGAUAUUUCCCAUGGUUGCUUAAGAAGAGCUCUGGGUUUUCCAGAAUACUGGGAGAAAAAUCAAGAUUCCAAGUGCCUUGGGAAUUUGAUAAUUGUGCUGCUGACAGUGACAGUUUGGGGCCCUAAGAUGCCUAUCUGAUUCUUCAAAUGAUGAAGAAUGGAAAAAGUGGAUGAAAAUCAAAUCAUUUUAAACAUUCACUUAGGAAAGUUGCCUGUGGAACCCUCUCAGUGGUUUAUUCAUGACUAGAAACGAUUGAAUUGUGAGAAAUAUAAUCACUCCUUUUUUAUCAUUUGGCAAACCCAGAUCAUCCCAUACCCCAUACCCAAGCACAUUAGCGUCCUGGAAAGAAAAACCCAACUGUUGGUGCAAAAGUGGCCCAGGGAGUCACAAUGCCAGGUGACUUAGGCAAAUACUCAAGCUGGUUUUCUAGUCUACACCUGUCAUCAUUCAGUCCUGACACUGAACACAUAAUUCCAGUUUAGGCUCACACUGGAGAGGGACCAGUCUUUCCAACCCAUUCCAUAAGGCAAAUGUGGGAGGAAAGAGAGAAAGAAGAAGGAUCUGAUGACAGUCGGUGCUUUCCACCCACCCAUGAUCUUACUGUGGCAGCCAAGAACUGAGACAUUCCACCAACAGCCUUGGGAUUUCCAGCUCCUUAGAGGGCAACCUCCCCAGGCGGACAGUGUUUCAAAAAAGUUACUCUUCACGUCCUCUCCCAUUAUUUUAUAUAAACUAUGACACAAUCAGAAAAUGCCUGAGUGCCUUGGCCUCCCUUCCUUUCUCCCCCUCCCAUCAAUUCAGUCUAAAUGAAGAUUCUGCUUCUAUUUGAAAAGAGAACAGAUUUCCUUGGUUCUGAGCAGAGUAUUUAAUGAGAGCCUCUGAGUAUUCAACAUGUUCACAUUUUAUGAAGAGAUCCUGCGGUCAAGCACAGCUUGGGCUGCAGAAAAUGAUAGGUUCAACCCAUACCCCAGCAGUGGCGUAAAUAUUAGCUCUGCAGCAGAGUGACCCUGGACAAGAAGCUGCUGGUUUCCCUGGCUCUACCCAAGAUAACAUGAACAAAGCCUGAACAGAACCAAUGCUGCCCAGAAAGACCAGUCCGGAAAUGCCCCUCGGCUUGUGUCUGUUUAACACCACUCCUCCUCCCUCCACCCACCCACUGCCACUGUUACACAGCACAGAGCCCCAGAGAGAGCUGGAGUGGAGCAGCUGGCUCUUGGAGGAGCACACUCAAUCUUCCUAGGAAGUAAAGAAGUCCCUGAGUGACCAGCAUGGGGGAGAAGGGAUCUGUCUCUUGGAAGAGGCAGGGAGUCGGAGGACGAAGGUUCAUCCGAAGUAGUCAGAGAAAGAUCAGAGAGCAACGCAGGGUGGAUAGGGGAACUCAGUACUCAUCCAAAACUCCUUCCUGGCCAGCCAUGGUAGCAUGCACCUGUAAUCCCAGCACUCUAGGAGGCUGAGGCAAGAGGGUCCUAGGUUUGAGCCCAGCUUGGGGAACCUAGAGAUUUAGUGGGACCCUGACUCAAAGAAUAAAAAAGGUCUGGGGAGGUAUCUCAGUGUGAAAGUUCUGAAUUCAAACUCUAGUAUCACACAAGAGAUAAACAAAUAAUAAAACCCUUUUCCUCUCAGAACACAGAUGGCCUGUGUCAGACAUGGGAGAGACUCAGGACCAGCGUUUUAGAAUUCUUUUGUCACAGACAGCCUUAAGACUGAUAAGAACAGGAAAGUUCACUCAUGUGAACAACACAUAUGCAGCACAUUGAGAUAAAAUCUCAGGGUCUGCAGACCUCAAAGCUCAUCCUUGGGAUCCUCAAAUUCUACAGAUCUCUGGCCAAGGAACUCUGCUUCCAGUCUAGUCGUUCCCAACCGAAAGGAGCUUCACCUCCUCCCACCUACCUAGCAAAGGGGGCAUUUGGCAAUGUUUGGAGACAUUUUCAGCUCCUCCCAUAGGGAAGGAAGGGUACCACAAGCAUCUAGUAGGUAGAGGCCAAGGAGGCACUACAUAUCCCGUAAUGCAUUGGACAGAGCGCAUAGCAAAGCAUUACUGGUCUAAAAUGUCAAUAGCGCUUAAACUGAGAACACUGUGUCUAGUCCAACACAUCACUUUACAAUAGAAAGUUAAGUAAUCUGCCUAAAAUCACACAUGUAGUUAUUAGGAAGGCCAGGAUUAUUGCUCUGGAUAAUAAAUGGUAGCUUAUUGGUUGAGCACUUACUAUGUCCCAGACACCAUUCCAAGUAUUUUACAUAUGUGGACUCAAUUCUCACAACUCUUCUCUGAGAUGAGUGUGUUAUCCCCUAUCUUAUAGAUAAGGGAAUAGAGGAAAACAGAGGCUAAGUGUCCCACCCAGGCUCACCUGGCUGAUCAGCAGUGAGGCUGGAAUAACACCAGGUGUCAUGCUCUAGUGUUUCCAAGCCAUCACCACUUACAGUGCACUGCCAGGAUCCCAGUAACAAUCUGUAUUCCAACAGGUCAGCACCUGAUAUUGCACCUGAAUCUGCAGUAUCAGUCCUCUGAAGUCCUUUAAUCUCUUCCGUGUUCCAUCUUUGGUUUCUUAUUAUUUUCGGCUUUGUGGUUUUCACUUUUCAUUUGAGAAUCUAUUUCUUCCAUUCCUCACUGGAUCUUAUAUUCUUAUAGGUACUUACAAUGAUCAAAAUAUAUUGUCCUCCAUUAUUCUCUGAUCUUUAAAACAACUCUAUACAGACGACUGAGGGAGAACAAGAUCACUAGGCAGGUAAUUUUCUAGAGCCAGCACUGGCAGCCCUGGCAUGGGGCAUGUUCCAAAGCUUUGUCUCCUUCCUCAGGGCUGCCACCAGCUCCUUCCACUCUUGCUCAGAUCUAGAGUGAGUGAGGUACCCAGAUUCUCAUCCUCAGGAUAGUAGGGCCCUUUUGGCCUCUGCAGGACAUAGGGAUUCUUGCUCACAUGCUGAUUAUGUCCGACAUUUUAUUGAUCUUCAACAGAAGCAUAAGAUUGAGCAUUAUUUUAAGGGAAAUUAUUUAUUUAAUCUUUGACAGUCAGGUGAGACAAUCUAAAAUUCCCAAGCAUUAUCAUCUUAGCUCCUGAAUUGCUUAAUCUGUCUCCCUUCCAGCUCCUUGCUCCACUUCCUUGGUGAAAAUAAUGUUAUGUUGUUCAUGGUGUUGGUGUUUUAUUUUGAUUGUUUAAAAAGUGAGAUGGGCUGGGCUGCCUGCCAGCUAGUGCCCCUUCCCACUCAAAAACUAUACAUCUCUGCCUAGCUUUUGUGUAUCCCCACAUUCUAUGCUGAACUGGCUCAAUCUAUGAUUCCUGUCUUGUCUUGGUGGAGAUCUUUCCUGCCAGAAAUGGUUGCCAAUAUCUGGAUAAGACCCAAGCACUUAAGCAACAUUUAAAACAGGAUCCCAGAACAGAAAAAGAAAUUCCCGUUUCCCUUGUCUUUUCCUCAAACCAUCACAGACAUUGCCUCCUGGGUCUUUGUAGCAAACAAAAUUGUCUCUAGCUGGAGAUAAAAGUGAACUGACACUUGGUUUUCCUUUAAUUUAAUUAUAAGAGUAUGCACUGGCUCAUCCGGAAAUAAUACCUAUUGAGUAUUAGUUUUUAUAUUUCAACAUGUUCUAAAAAGGACUGAAGUCAGAUGAAGGGGUUAUUGCAAAGAUCAUUAAGUUCACUUUAAUUCAGUAAGUACUCAAUAUGUAUCCUGCAGAUAGUCAUUUUUCAUUCUUUCACCUUUGAUCUGGCAGAAGACCACUGGGAUUCUUCCACUUCCAAUCCUGUAAGCCGACUUGGUAAAUCUUUUGUAUAAUCAUACAUAUAUUUUAUAUUAAAUCUGUUCCUAUAGUGAACCCUAAUACACUUCACAACCUUCCACCAGGUGAAGACACACCUUUGAGCCAGAAGACAGGUCCUCAGCAGACUUCAGAUCUACUGGCACUUUUAUCUUGGACUUCCUACAUUCCAGAAGUGUAUGAAAUAAACAUCUCCAAGAUAUUUUGUUAAAUAGUAGCCCAGACUAAAUCAGCUCAUGACAUCCUUGCUCAGCAUCCUCCAGAGGCAGGAAAAAGACUCAGUGUAUGUCGAAAUCUCGGGGUUUUGUCACUGACUAGAUCUUGGUCAUGGACCCCCACAGCCAAUCGUUGUGUGGAGGGAGGUGGGAUGAGGGAUGGGUCUGCUGGGAUUAACCAAAUCUAGUUCCCAUGUCCACCCUUGAGCUGGUAGUGAAAUAAUGGUAUGGCAGCUCCAUCAAUGUAGCAAUUUUGGAUUUAAGGAGCUGCACGUCCCUGGAAGAAGGGCGUAGGAGGUAUUGUUGCCAGAAGGAAAAGGAUUUUUGAGUAGAACAAAACAACAGAUGUCUACUAUCAUUAUGUCUAUGAAUUCAUUUGAAAGUAGUCAUUUGGAACUCAGCUUAUAUUUCCUAGUAAAAACAAUCACAUAACAAACCUUUAUAUUUAUGUGGUGUUCAAUGAGGCAAUUUCUUAUCCUUUAUAUUGAUUGACUCCUCCAUCCAAAUUAGGUACCUUGGAGGGGCCAGGACAAAGCCAGAGGAGGAGGAGGGGAAGCACAGGCCUGUCGGGAGCAGCCCAUUUACCAUGACACCCUAUCCCCGCAAUGGAAAUUCUCCUGUCAACAUGCUCCCCUUUCCAGAAUCUAAAGGUUCCCGGGGGCUGGCACAGCCCUGACAAAGCAUGUUCAUGGACUGGUUGAGGCCAAGGGAGACAUGACAGAGGGAGCUGCCCUCUGCCUGCUCAAACCUCAAAGUGUUACAGUGUCACCACUCAAAGUAUACACCCUUCCCAGGCUUUCUAUAGUCAAGGUGGAUCAGAAAUAAGCACCAGGAGGUUGACUGGUUGUAUUGGAACUUCAAAUUCAAAGAAAACCUUACUUUUCCAAGAAUCCCUCCUUAGCACAAGUUUGAGGCAGGCUUCUCACACACCCUGCAAGCUCUUUUUCCUCCUCCCCACUAGGGUUUUGUGGGUGAAGGACAGUCAGUGCUUCCCAAUGUACGAAGAACACCUUGUUCCCAGUAGACUAAUGAGUAGUCAGUGUUCAAAAUCCAGAUUAGUCUAACUCAAUGUUCAAAAUUUUAACAUUUGGAAACCACUUCUGACCUUGUGGGCAAAUAACAAAGGAAGAAUAAUUCAUCCAUCUAUUCAUUUACCCAACCUUAUCUUCAGUCCUUUCUGUUUAGUUCUUCAUCCUGCUAAAAAAAUAUAAACAAAUAGUUGAACAUUUCAAGCACAGGCCCAAGUGCUGCCAUCAUAAGGGGGCACAAAUGUCUGACCAAAUGAGACAUACAGUACCAUGUACUGCAAGAGGCAGGUGAACACAACUGUGGGACCAUAAAAGGCAAGACCAGCUUGGCACCAUUCCCACCACACGUGUGCAUGCACACAUGCAUAAACACAUACACAUACACAUACACAUUUCUGGAGCACAGUUUGUUCGGGUUUUUUUUUUUUUUCUGGUACCAGGGAUCAAACUCAGGACCUUGCCCUUGUGAGGCAGGCGCUGGAACCACUGAGCUAAAACCCCAGCUGGAGUGAGAUAAAUUCACAGAAGUAGGUGAACACUUUGUUCUGCCAACACUUCUGAUACCAAAUGCAUGAGAACUUUCUGCCACAACAGCCAAUUCUCCAAUUCUCUGGACACCAACUGGGUUUCCUACAAUUCAGUUAAACUCCGAUGCUAAUUCCGAGUCAGCACAGACCUCACAGGUGCAGGGCUCAGUCCCACAAGAGCACUCACCCUUCCACCUGUGAUUCUGAUGAACUGGCUGCAAAUCCGAGGUUCCCAUGACCCCCUUCUUGGUUGGGGUAAUUUGCUAGAAUAGUCUUCAGGAAUCAGGAAAAUACUUUACUUACAGUUACCAGCUUGUUAUAAUGGAUUCAACUCAGAAAACCACCAUAUGGACGAGAGGCAGAGGGCAAGGAAUAGGGGAAGUACCCUCUUCAAGUUCACCACCCUCCCAGCACCUCGAUUUGUUCACCCCCAGAAGCUCUCUGAGCCUGUGGUUUAGGGAUUUUAUAGACGUUUCACUCUAAAUUUAAAAUCACUUUAAAGUGAAAUCACCAACCAUUAGCAAUUGUUAAAUCCAUCUCCAAUCCUCUCUCCCCGCCCUGGAGGCUGGGGCUAGAACUUUCAGCUCCAACUCCCUCAUUGUUUCUCUUUCUCUAUAGACCAGCUCUCAUCCUGACGCUAUCUAGGGGUCCAAUAAGAAUUGGAACAAAAGACUUUCCUAUAACACAGGAAAUGCCAAGGGAUUUUGGAGUUGUGUCCCAGGAACUGAGGGGGAGAUUCCAAAUAUUUAUUUUUUCAUAUCAUAGGAGUUUUUUAUAGGUUAGCUCAAAAGAGUGAAAGAAGAAAGAAACAUUUUAACAUAGUAACAGUCAUUAGGCUAAGAGCUUGUCUCUCGGCAGUGUGAAGGCCUGCACGGACAUAUGUAAAGACACAAAAAUAAAGGACAAUAGCUCAGGGCAGCUAGAACAUAGCCUUCAAGUUGGGAAUAAUGGAAAAUAUAAGGCUGGAGGGGUGGGAAGGGCCCAGUUUGGAAGAAUGUUUUAUCCUAUGCAGAAGAGUUGAACUUUCUCCUGGAAACAAUGGUGCCUGAUUGGAGAUUGACUUGAUCAGAUUUAUGACUGGGAAGGGUACCUCUGCCUACAGUAGGAAGGAGUGUUGGGCAGGAGUGGAGGAAAUGAAGAGGAAGAGUACACCAUGGAUGGCAGUCAAUUCUCAGAGAAGGAAGUGGCAGUUUGGACUAGGGUAGUGUCUGAGGAAAUGGUGACAAGUGGGAGAACCAGAAGUAGUGUGCAGACCUUGGUUCCUAAUAGAAUUCUCCAACAAAGAAACCAGGGCUCUUUAAGAGACAUUUGAAUCAUAGCAGGAUAAGCUUGGAGCAUCUUGUAGUGCCAGGAAACAAGAAAGUGCUACACAAAGUCACACACACACACACACACACACACCUCAAUAAGGAUACAUCCAAGGGACACAGAACCAACUGAAGAGCUCUCAUUGGCCAAGUGGGAGCUAUAAUAAUUUGAAUAACAAAAUAAACUAGGAUUGAAUUAUAACCCAAACUAUAAAAUAAAUAUCCAUGUGUCUCUGCUAAUACAAAUACAUAGCUAAGUCAAUAAAUGAGGGAGAAGAGAUAAAUUUUCUUUCUCUUUUUCUUUUUUUUUUUGGUACUGGGGAUUGAACUCGGGUCUUUGCACUUGUGUAGCAGGCAGUGAAACCACUGAGCUAAAUCCCUGGCCCUAGGGAGAUAAAUUUUCUAUACCAGAGAAUUCCAAAUAAGUCAUAAUAAGUAACUCAACCUCAAAGAGGUAGAAUGCAACUACUUAUUUCUUAAGUAUGAGGUAUGCAGAGUGACUUCUUUCCAAUUAAUACAGAAUGGUAACAGCAAAAAAAAAAUAAUAACUUUGCAGUGGAGAAGCAUGACAAACACUAUCUAAAUCUGGUGAUCAAGGUCAACAUCAACUGUGAUAAGUCAGGUUAACAGAACGUGCCCCUGAUGUGAUAGGAUGAAGUGUAUUCAAAAAGGUAAAAUGUAGGGCUGGGGAUUUAGCUCAGUGGCACCAUGCCUGCCUUGCAAGUACAAGGUCCUGGGUUCAAUCCCCAGUACCAAAAAAAAGGUAAAAUGUCUUUCAUUCAAUAAAUCUUUAAUGCCUAUAAACUAUACAUUAAUUUGAAAAAUAUUGAGAGCCUCCUAUAGACCAGGUACAGGUCAAAUGUUGGGGAUGCUUUCUACUGGAGGGAGACAGACAAAAAUAAACAAACAUAUAUGCAACAGCUUAGAUAUGGUAAAUGGUAUGAAGAAAACUAAAGCAGGAUAGGAAUGCUAUAAGGGAAGAUUAUUGCUUUACAUGGGACAUGUGUAAAAGCAUCUCCAGUUAGGAACAUCAGAGCAAGAAUUCUAAGGAAAUGUAAGUGUCAGCCUUCCAGUCACUGGAGGAAGAGCAUCCUGGGCAGAGACUGGUGUGAUCACAGUCUCCCAUGGGGCUCCCAGUGGUCACAGUCUCCUGGAGUUUUCACCAUCCAUGCUCAGUGAGGGCUUGCUCUGCAUGAGUGAUAGAGCACAUCACAGGUGACAGGGUGUGACUUCUGAGAAUGAAUCAUAAUGGGCACUGCACCUUCCACCUGGUCGUCUUGGUUUUCUCAAUCUAAGGAAAUCCAACCUUCAACAUACCCUACUGCAAACCCAAGGAGAGGUCCGCAUGGCUAGGAACUGAAGCCCAGCCAACAGCCAGCACUAACUUACUAGCCAUGAUUCUUUCCCUUUGGUACCAGUUCUUUGCACAGUUGCCUGAGUCGCCAUGGAAAAUACCAGCUGCAGAUGCAGCCAGACGAGUGCCUGUGUGAACAUCCAGCCACCAAGUGCUCAGUGGGAAGGAAACUGUAGCUGCCAAAGGAGAAGAAGACAUCGAGGAGGGCCCUCAGUGAAGAGCUGACCUUUCCCUGGAAGCAGCUGUUCCCCUCCCAGUGGAGCCCAGAGGCUGUCAGCAGAGGCUGGGCCCUGUCACAUUAGAGAGCACGUAUGGAGGGAGAAGUGCCAACUUCUGCUGUUCAGAGACACCCCACUGACCACAUGUAACUCUGGGUGCUGGAUUUCCUUGGAUGUUCCUGAGUCCUGAAUCUUAUUCUUUGUUGGAGUUAUAAACUUACAAAGAUCAAGUCUUCCUCGAUUGCCUUAGGAAGCAUUCAUCAUUUAGGCCUCCACAUUUUCUUUGUAGCUUUUCUAUGGUGUUAACCACACUGAAUUGCAAUAAGAGUAAUAGCUAACAAACAGGUAUUGAGAAUUUAUUGUGUUCCAGGCGCUGAUGUAAGAAUAGCACUCAUGCUGUGAUGAGAUAUAGUGUUUAGGCCCGUUUUAUGGAUGAGCAAACACACUGUUUAGGUAACUUUAGAAAGAUCACACUGCUCAUAAGUGUUCAGACCCUGGGGUCCUGCUCCAAACUGUGAAUGACUCACACACCCACAUUGUGACCUUGUGGAGGACACCAUUUGUGAGGACAUUUGUAUUGCUUUCUGAACGCUCACCAUGGGUGUGUUGAAAGCUGUUCAGGAAUCAUGGGUGUUAUCGGGAAUUAGAGGGUGACAAACCUGGAAGCAGUCUUAGAAGGCCUCCAAACCAGCUCUGUAAUGCUACACAUAAGGAACACAAGACCCAGACAUGGGAAGUAGAAAAGUUGAGACCAAAAUCCUAAGCUCCCAACUCAUAGUAACAUACUUUUCCCCAUUAUUCAUGGCUCAUUUAUUGAAAAAAUGUGCACAUUAUUAGGACUGUCUAUGAUGAGCAGGGCCCACUCUGCAUCUUUAGAGGAAUACAGGAUGUGUCUCUCACUCAUUUACCACCUACAUGGUCCUUCUGCACAGGAGGCCAGAAGGCACUGCAUUGUGCCCCAUGCUUGCCUUGCCCCUGGAGGUGAGAGGCAGAAUAUUUGAAAUCAGGGUCUCAUGGAAAUUUUGACUGUAAAGUGUCUAUUGGGUGCUAUGCCAAAAGCUUGAUUUAAUGAAGCUUCCAGUAAAAGAAUAGGAAACUGGUUUCACCACAAUACACGUCCCCAAAGAACUCCCAGAAUUGGCUGCCAUUUUAUUGCCCUUAUCUUGAGUACACACCUGUAGUUAAGAGAAGCCUGUUACUUUGCUAUGCUUUUGCUAAGCAAAUAUAAGUUUCAAGAAAGACAUCUACCUGCCCAAGGCCAUAGAAUCAAUUUACAGCAGAACUGAUCUCAACAUGUCACACAAUACACACCAUUUUUUAGAUCUUGUUGCUAUUUUCUCAUUUCUAAUUUGAUCUUGAAUCAGAAUCAGGCCAUUAGUUUGAAAGUAUGAUACAUGGUUUUAAAGGCUUUGAGUUUCUACAUAUAGGUCAGUAGGACUCAAGUGGUGGCAAUUUUAACCCUAAGGGGAUAUUUGACAAUGAUUACAGAGAGAUCGGAGUGUUACAAUUCCCAUCAUAAAGAAUUAUGCAACCCUAAAUGUCAUUCAUGUAAUGUCUCUAGAUUCUAGAGUUUGAAGAGGGCAGGUAGGAGGGGAUAUGGAGAAAGUUAUUCUAGAUUAAUCCAAGAAAAGACUAAGUUUGAACUGCUGCCUUGGGUUCAAGCCAGGGAGACAAUUAGAAGCCCCAGCUUUGGAUGGCUUGAGUGUUUGUGUAAGAGGGAUUGUUUACUUUAUUAAAAACAUCCUGUGUAAUUGCCAAUGUGCCUGUCUUCGCUGACAGCUGAUGGCCCCCAAAAAAGCAUUCUCCUUACUAAGGAAGCAAGCCUCACUGCUCCUCUUCCUCGGUGCCACAUUGGCUAAUAAUUCCUCUAAACUGAUGGUGUCAUAGGACACACAUGGAGAACACUCAAACCUUUGGGAUCCUCCAUCCCUCUUAUUUAAUGCAGCUCUCCCUGGGGACAAAGGAGUCAUCUCUCCCACUACCCAAGAGCCUGGCUUGCCAUCCGUCCUUAUGUUCUCUCAGUGGUGGGGAAAGUGUGGCCUCAUGCAGCAACUCCGUCCACAAAGAUUUCCUAUGGAAAGUUGGCCCUUCUCUACCCUCCUCCUUCCCAGCCAACAUCUCACAUUAUUUUUUAAUUUUUUUUUAUUUUACUAGUAUAUGUUUGCAGUUUAUGCAGUUCACAAUUAUCUUGGGGAGUGGUUACAUAUACAUACCACAGCUUGUUUCUUUUAUUUUUUGAAUUCCCUUCCCUUUCCCAUUUUAAAAAAUGAUGUGUGUUUAAAUUAUUAAAAUAAAAAAC